rnacentral:rRNA from 1 species
CCUACGGGAGGCAGCAGUGAGGAAUAUUGGUCAAUGGACGAGAGUCUGAACCAGCCAAGUAGCGUGAAGGAUGACUGCCCUAUGGGUUGUAAACUUCUUUUAUAUGGGAAUAAAACGUUCCACGUGUGGGAUUUUGUAUGUACCAUAUGAAUAAGGAUCGGCUAACUCCGUGCCAGCAGCCGCGGUAAUACGGCGGAUCCGAGCGUUAUCCGGAUUUAUUGGGUUUAAAGGGUGCGUAGGUGGAUUGUUAAGUCAGUUGUGAAAGUUUGCGGCUCAACCGUAAAAUUGCAGUUGAAACUGGCAGUCUUGAGUACAGUAGAGGUGGGCGGAAUUCGGGGUGUAGCGGUGAAAUGCUUAGAUAUCACGAAGAACUCCGAUUGCGAAGGCAGUUCACUGGACUGCAACUGACACUGAGGCUCGAAAGUGUGGGUAUCAAACAGGAUUAGAUACCCUGGUAGUC